rnacentral:rRNA from 1 species
UUGACUGUACAAAGGUAGCAUAAUCAUUAGUCUUUUAAUAGGAGGCUGGCAUGAAGGGUUUGACGAGGAGUUGACUGUCUCAUUUGAUUUUAUUUUAGAAUUUAACUUUUCAGUUAAAAGGCUGAAAUUUCAUUGGAAGACGAGAAGACCCUAUAGAGUUUAAUAAUUAAUUUUAUAAUUAAUGUAUUAUAUUUAAUUUAUAUAUUUAAUUAUUUUGUUGGGGUGACAAAAAUAUAUAAUUAACUUUUUUAUUUAUUUAUCAUUGAUAUAUGUACUUAAGAUCCAGUCUUAUUGAUUGUUAGAAUAAGUUACCUUAGGGAUAACAGCGUAAUAU